rnacentral:rRNA from 1 species
GGGGAAGAUUGCACUAUGGGCCCAAGCCGGAUGCAGCCCUGGCGCGUGUAUGAAGAAGGCCUUCGGGUUGUAACGUACUUUCAGCGGGGAUGAAGGUGGUGUGGAUACUAACUGAAGGUAUGAGCGGUACGCGCCGAAGAAGGACGGUGUAACUGCAGGCCAGCAGCCGCGGUAAUACGGAGGGUGCAAGCGUUAAUCGGAAUUACUGGGCGUAAAGCGCACGCAGGCGGUCUGUCAAGUCGGAUGUGAAAUCCCCGGGCUCAACCUGGGAACUGCAUUCGAAACUGGCAGGCUAGAGUCUUGUAGAGGGGGGUAGAAUUCCAGGUGUAGCGGUGAAAUGCGUAGAGAUCUGGAGGAAUACCGGUGGCGAAGGCGGCCCCCUGGACAAAGACUGACGCUCAGGUGCGAAAGCGUGGGGAGCAAACA